UGGGAAGGCAAGAAGUCGGCAUAGCUGUUUGAAAAUGAUAUACGGCUGUGUCACUUCGAGCCAGCUCAAUCCACCGGCUUUCUGCAUAAAGAAGAUUUGCGGACGCUGCCGUAACGUGAAAAUUCGGAUCGCUCCCGUAGCGGCGCGACUCCGGCCGGGAGAGGGCGCAUUGACAGCUGUCACUGGGCACUAUUUCGCUUUCUUCGCGGCCGGACGUGGGAGGAAAUCGUUUAUUUUUAUCACACACGACGAUGUUCCCGUAGAGUGCGACCGGCUGUGUACGUGCGUGACGAAACGAUCGAAAACAAGACGACAAAAUGCCGAACGAGGAGGUGUUGGGUCCGCGGAAGACGAUGUUCGUACUAGUGAUUGUUGUGGGAUGUUUCGCGGUGCUGUGGCCCAGGAUUCUGUCGCCGCUGAUCUUGGGCCACUCGCGGGACCAGCUCAAACCGAACGCGUUCGACCGGGAGGCAGCUGUAAAACAAGAGCGUCCUCUGAACCGCGGCGCAGGGCCGCAUCCAGCACUGCGAGAGCGGGGCCGCGCGAUUCCUCAGGGCGUGGCCCCCGCGAGACCCGCGACACCGAUGCCGCCCCACGUUCGGGUACGAUCCUCCCCGCUAUCAGUGUACUAUGAGCUGGACAUCAAGCCACCACCGAUCCCGGGCAUGCGGCCCCCGCUCGGCUCGCCCGGGGGUCCGGUGCCCACGCCCAAGUCGUCCAUGGGGUUCGUCAUGCCGAUCUACACGAUAUGCAUCAUAGUGUUCUUCGUGUACACACUUAGCAAGAUCCUGUUCAAGCGCACCGCGUCCCCCUACGAGCCUGUUAGUCCCGACCCCCACUUCAGGAGCAGGGUGUUCCGCGACGACUCCAGGACGUCGCCCGACAAGCUCGGGGAUGUUGAACUGGAGGCGCUGCGAGCGCGGCUUGCGGAGACUGAGCGCGCCAUGCAAAGGAUCGUCGGCCAACUGGCUCAGCGCGACGCGGAGGCCCAGGAUGAGCAGGCUCGCCCGUACACGAACGGUACAAUACUUCACAACACCGGCCCGGUGCAUAUCGUCGCCAGCGAAUACCAGGAAGUAUCCAAGGAAAAGACUCCUGAACCUCAGAGGGAAGUGCCAGAACCUUCACCUGAAGUGAAGGAACCUGCCCCUGAACCUGAAAAGCCUCUGUCAAAAGAAUCUUUAGAGACGAAAGAGUCUGAGGAAUUAGAGGCUGAAAAACAAGAAGAAUUGGUUCAAGAAAUACCUGCAACACAAUCUGAAGAAGCAGAGACGGACGAUGUUAAAGAAGAGAAGGGUCCAGAAGAAAAUGACUUAAAACUCGUUGCUGACGAUGAAGUGGACGAAAAUGGUGGCGAAGCUAAAUUCGAUAAAGAAGAAUCGGGUUCAGAGCCAGAGUUAAUAGAAAUUAAUAAUAAAGAGGAUGAACUGAUUAAAUUAACAAACGAUGACGUAGAAAGCGAUGACUACGUCAAAGUGGUACAGGAUUUCUUGAACGAGGAAGCUAAAAUAGACGUGAAAGAAGAGAAACAAUCGACUCCGGAUCUCCUGGAAGUAGCUAUUAAAGAGGACUCGCCUGAUAAACCUGAGGAUGACCAAGAAAAUGCUAGUGUAAAGAUGGUGGUGAGCGGUAAAAUGACUUUGUCACUCAUACAGGACGCACCGAGAGACACUCCUGAGAAGGAUCCAGAAUCAACAGUGGAUGAUUUCACAACAGCCAGUGCAAUCACUCAACCCGCCGCUGAUAAACAAGUUGAAGAAGAGUCCGACGAAGAAAUAGAGAUCGAAGAAGAAAUAGAAGUGGAAGAGAUCGAGGAAGAGGAAGAAGUUGAGGAGAUUGAGGAAGACGAAGAGAACGAACCGGUGGAGGCGAAGAAACCAGAAGCAAAGGAACCAGUCAAAGUGCAAGAAGUAAAGGAAGCUGUUAAAGUACAGGAAGAAGUAAAACAAGCAGAAGAAGAUUCCGAAGAGGAGGUAGAAGUAAAUGAAGAUGAGGAACCAAUACAAGAUUCGAAAUUUGAACCGGUUAAAGAACUAGAUGCCGAUAAAGAAGAAGAAUAUUCUGAGGAAGAAAUUGAGGAAAAUGAGGAACCAGUGAAAGAGUCAGUUAAGGUAAAGGAACCGGUGAAAUUAAAAGAGCCAGUUAAAGGAAAACCAUCUGUAGAACAUUCAGAAGAUGAUAAGGAACAGAAGAAAGCGAAAGGAGAUAAAGAAUGAACUGAUAGGAAUUAACUUGUAGUGAGAGAAUGUUUGGUGGUUCUGUAAAGAAAAAUAUUAAACAAGUAAAAUGGAUUCAAAUAAAAAU
rnacentral:miRNA from 1 species